CCUCAGGUUCCCUCAAGAGCACAGCCUCGAUUGCGGCCCUGGAGAGGCCUUAGAAAAGGAUUCACAGGAUCAAUCGUAUGUUCUUCCUAAAAUAUGCAAAGCAAGUUGGAUGGAGACACAAGCUGGCUGCCUGGCAAAACCCGUCCUGCUUCUGUGUGCGCUCUCCGGUUUACCUGAGGAAAACCUUCUCAGCCUGUGGCAUCCGCAGCACCAGAGGAACUUAUUAUUUGGGUCACUGAGUGAAAGCCAUCAACAAGACACACUUCCCAAGGCUGUGAAAUUUGCCAGUGCAAGCCAAAUGCAAGACCUCACCUGCCUUAUGCACUUUCUGCAAAAUGCCGAAUCAACAUAAAGCCCUUUUCUGAAGGAAAGUCAGUCACUGCAGCCGAACAAGUCUCGUCUGUGUUCCCAGGGCAGAGAGGGAAAGGCUGCUAAUCCUUGUUCUCACCUGGUGAUUAUGUCAGUGUGAGAAGAUGGACUCUGUUUAUUUUCCCCUGAAUGAUACUUAUGUAGUUUUUAAAAAAGAUUUAUGAUCAUGAACUAACCAUGAGA